rnacentral:rRNA from 1 species
GAUUCCUAGGCAUUCAUUGGCGAAGAAGGAUUUGGUAAGUUACGAAAAAAUGGGGGGACCGGUACUCACGCAUUUAUCCGCCGAUGUCCGAAUGGGGCAACCCGGCAUGUUGCAGACAGGUCAGUCUAAUUUUAUAGAGAGCAAACCCGGAGAACUGAAACAUCUAAGUACCCGGAGGAAAAGAAAUCGAAGAGAUUCCGUAAGUAGUGGCGAGCGAAAGCGGAUUAGCCCAAAAGCUUAUAUAUGUUUAAUAGAUUGUUCUUGAAAGAACAGCCGUAGAGGGKGAUAGCCCCGUAUAUGAAAGUCAUAUAUAAGUGAUAAAUGGGUAGGGCGGGACACGUGAAAUCCUGUCUGAAUAUGGGGGGACCAUCCUCCAAGGCUAAAAACCCCUGAAAGACCGAUUGCCCACACCUUCUGGGAAGGAAAAGUGAAACCCACUUCCAAAAGAAGGGUGAAAUCCAGCCUGAAACCGCACACCUACAAGCGGACGGAACCCAUAUGUUGGGUGACGGCCUGCCUUUUGAAUAACGAACC